GGAGGGUUCGCCUAAUUGGUAUGGCACCGGUUUCGAAAACCGGCGGGAGCAAUCCCUUAGAGGUUCGAGUCCUCUACCCUCCG
rnacentral:tRNA from 1 species